rnacentral:rRNA from 1 species
UCCUAUAAUGCAGUCGAGCGAACUGAUUAGAAGCUUGCUUCUAUGACGUUAGCGGCGGACGGGUGAGUAACACGUGGGCAACCUGCCUGUAAGACUGGGAUAACUUCGGGAAACCGAAGCUAAUACCGGAUAGGAUCUUCUCCUUCAUGGGAGAUGAUUGAAAGAUGGUUUCGGCUAUCACUUACAGAUGGGCCCGCGGUGCAUUAGCUAGUUGGUGAGGUAACGGCUCACCAAGGCAACGAUGCAUAGCCGACCUGAGAGGGUGAUCGGCCACACUGGGACUGAGACACGGCCCAGACUCCUACGGGAGGCAGCAGUAGGGAAUCUUCCGCAAUGGACGAAAGUCUGACGGAGCAACGCCGCGUGAGUGAUGAAGGCUUUCGGGUCGUAAAACUCUGUUGUUAGGGAAGAACAAGUACGAGAGUAACUGCUCGUACCUUGACGGUACCUAACCAGAAAGCCACGGCUAACUACGUGCCAGCAGCCGCGGUAAUACGUAGGUGGCAAGCGUUAUCCGGAAUUAUUGGGCGUAAAGCGCGCGCAGGCGGUUUCUUAAGUCUGAUGUGAAAGCCCACGGCUCAACC